AAUUUAGGAGCGUGCUCCGGGGCGGCGGGAACCGGGGUGAGCGGGCGGAGGGCGGGGGGCGUGGUGAAGCGUCUGGGUACCGGAGCCGCACCGGGACAAAACUCCGGAGGGGAGUACUCGAACCCGGCGCAACGUCAGUCCCGGCCCGCAGCCGCGUCGGCACCACCCCGGAGCCCACGGUUCACGCGCUCGCGGCGGCCCCGACUCUCUCCUUGAUAGGAAUGGUUGACUUCACAGAAUUAUAUGGAGUGACUCGUCCCACUGGAUUGGAAACUAUUUUAAGCCUGAAUAAUGUUAUAUACAAUGAAUUCUAAAUUUCCCUUCAAAGAACCGGUAUGUCAGUAUGUUCAGUCUUUGUUCUGCAUUUUAAAGUCUAACUUCCUCGCAGUUGCAAUAAACAACUUUUUCCACCAGUUCUAAUCAGUAGUUCAUGUCAUGUGCGUCCAUGUAAAGAGUCCACCAAACAGGUUUUGUGUGAGCAGUAAGGCUGUUUAUUUCACCUGGGUGCAGGCGGGCUGAGUCCCAAGAGUCGACGAAGGGAGAUAGGGGUGGGGCCGUUUUCUAGGAUUUGGGUGGGUAAUGGAAAAUGACAAAGGGCGUUUUUCUCUUGCAGGCAGGGGCGGGGGUCACAAGGUGCUCAGUUGGGGGAGCUUCUGAGCCAGGAAGUUAAGGUGGGGCAAGAACAAAUCACAAUGGUGGAAUGCCAUCACCUAAGGCAGGAACCAGCCAUUUUCACUUAUUUUGUGAUUCUUCACUUGCUUCAGGCCAUCUGGACGUAUACGUGCAGGCUUGGGCUCAGAGGACUGACAGUUCACAUCUGUUCCCCUGGUCAUCUGCUUUGACCUGAGUCACCUUUAGUUACCCGUCCCAUAACUGUUUUUCCUGCCAAACCACUCACCCCGCCACUCUGGCCCAUACUCCUGCUCUCUUUAAAGCCAAUGGGCAUUACUUUAGACUGCGGUCUAACCCUAGCCAAUAGGGGAACCACACAGCAGUAGGGGCUACCCGCGUCAGGAAUAAGAACCCCUUCCCCUCCCUUGUCCAAGCGCUUGCCAUUGCUCCAUCUAUGAGACCCCCCCUUCUAUAGAAGUAAAUUAUCUAGCUGAG
rnacentral:lncRNA from 10 species